CAUAGUGUGCUCUGGAAACUGUCUGACUNGAGUGCAGAAGGGGAGAGUGGAAUUCCAUGUGUAGCGGUGAAAUGCGUAGAUAUAUGGAGGAACACCAGUGGCGAAAGCGGCUCUCUGGUCUGUCACUGACGCUGAGGCUCGAAAGCGUGGGUAGCGAACAGGAUUAGAUACCCUGGUAGUNCACGCCGUAAACGAUGAGUGCUAGGUGUUAGGCCCUUUCCGGGGCUUAGUGCCGGAGCUAACGCAAUAAGCACUCCGCCUGGGGAGUACGACCGCAAGGUUGAAACUCAAAGGAAUUGACGGGGGCCCGCACAAGCGGUGGAGCAUGUGGUUUAAUUCGAAGCAACGCGAAGAACCUUACCAGGUCUUGACAUCCCGAUGCUAUUCUUAGAGAUAGGAAGUUACUUCGGUACAUCGGAGACAGGUGGUGCAUGGUUGUCGUCAGCUCGUGUCGUGAGAUGUUGGGUUAAGUCCCGCAACGAGCGCAACCCUUAUUGUUAGUUGCCAUCAUUAAGUUGGGCACUCUAGCGAGACUGCCGGUAAUAAACCGGAGGAAGGUGGGGAUGACGUCAAAUCAUCAUGCCCCUUAUGACCUGGGCUACACACGUGCUACAAUGGUCGGUACAACGAGUUGCGAGCCGGUGACGGCAAGCUAAUCUCUGAAAGCCGAUCUCAGUUCGGAUUGGAGGCUGCAACUCGCCUCCAUGAAGUCGGAAUCGCUAGUAAUCGCGGAUCAGCACGCCGCGGUGAAUACGUUCCCGGGCCUUGUACACACCGCCCGUCACACCACGAGAGUUUGUAACACCCGAAGUCGGUGAGGUAACCUUUUA
rnacentral:rRNA from 1 species